rnacentral:rRNA from 1 species
CCUACGGGCGGCAGCAGUGAGGAAUAUUGGUCAAUGGACGAGAGUCUGAACCAGCCAAGUAGCGUGAAGGAUGACUGCCCUAUGGGUUGUAAACUUCUUUUAUAUGGGAAUAAAAUGUUCCACGUGUGGGAUUUUGUAUGUACCAUAUGAAUAAGGAUCGGCUAACUCCGUGCCAGCAGCCGCGGUAAUACGGAGGAUCCGAGCGUUAUCCGGAUUUAUUGGGUUUAAAGGGAGCGUAGGAGGAUUGUUAAGUCAGUUGUGAAAGUUUGCGGCUCAACCGUAAAAUUGCAGUUGAAACUGGCAGUCUUGAGUACAGUAGAGGUGGGCGGAAUUCGUGGUGUAGCGGUGAAAUGCUUAGAUAUCACGAAGAACUCCGAUUGCGAAGGCAGUUCACUGGACUGCAACUGACACUGAGGCUCGAAAGUGUGGGUAUCAAACAGGAUUAGAUACCCGGGUAGUC